rnacentral:sRNA from 1 species
CUGCUGCGGCGAGCACAUAUGCACAUGGCCGUCAAUACCUGCGGCCGUAAGGAUCAUAUGCUCUCCUGAAAUGGCGUCCGUACUCGGACCGGUGACCAAAGUCGGGGUAACCCCCUUCAUCACGUUGGGAUUUCCGGCCUUGCCGAUUCCGGCUAUCUUGCCGUCCUUGAUGCCUACGUCGGCCUUGAUCACUCCAAGGAGCGGAUCGAGGAUUGUGACAUUGGUGAUCACGAGGUCAAGGCUGCCCCCGGCCGAAGUACACUCAUUGUCAAGCCCCAUUCCGUCGCG